GAUGAACGCUGGCGGCGUGCUUAACACAUGCAAGUCGAACGGGAAACCUUUUAUUGAAGCUUCGGCAGAUUUAGCUGGUUUCUAGUGGCGGACGGGUGAGUAACGCGUGGGUAACCUGCCUUAUACAGGGGGAUAACAACCAGAAAUGGUUGCUAAUACCGCAUAAGCGCACAGGACCGCAUGGUCCGGUGUGAAAAACUCCGGUGGUAUAAGAUGGACCCGCGUUGGAUUAGCUAGUUGGCAGGGUAACGGCCUACCAAGGCGACGAUCCAUAGCCGGCCUGAGAGGGUGAACGGCCACAUUGGGACUGAGACACGGCCCAGACUCCUACGGGAGGCAGCAGUGGGGAAUAUUGCACAAUGGGGGAAACCCUGAUGCAGCGACGCCGCGUGAAGGAAGAAGUAUCUCGGUAUGUAAACUUCUAUCAGCAGGGAAGAUAGUGACGGUACCUUACUAAGAAGCCCCGGCUAACUACGUG
rnacentral:rRNA from 1 species